UGGAUGAGCCCGCGGCCUAUCAGCUUGUUGGUGGGGUAAUGGCCUACCAAGGCGGCGACGGGUAGCCGGCCUGAGAGGGUGGACGGCCACAUUGGGACUGAGAUACGGCCCAGACUCCUACGGGAGGCAGCAGUGGGGAAUAUUGCACAAUGGGCGCAAGCCUGAUGCAGCGACGCCGCGUGGGGGAUGAAGGCCUUCGGGUUGUAAACUCCUUUCGCUACGGCCGAAGCUUUUUGAGCGGUACAUAUCUUGAAAGCACCGGCCUACACCUCGA
rnacentral:rRNA from 1 species